UACGAAGGGGGCUAGCGUUACUCGGAUUGACUGGGCGUAAAGGGCGCGUAGGCGGCUUGUACAGUCAGACGUGAAAUUCCUGGGCUCAACCUGGGGGCUGCGUUUGAUACGUGCGGGGCUUGAGUUCGGAAGAGGGUCGUGGAAUUCCCAGUGUAGAGGUGAAAUUCGUAGAUAUUGGGGAAGAACACCGGUGGCGAAGGCGGCGACCUGGUCCGAUACUGACGCUGAGGCGCGAAAGCGUGGGGAGCAAACAGG
rnacentral:rRNA from 1 species